AUUCAGCUGACAUGUCCUAAGUAGGACGAAACACGCGUUCUGGAU
rnacentral:hammerhead_ribozyme from 1 species